rnacentral:lncRNA from 1 species
CAGCCAGCACCAGGGCCUAGGUCCCAGUGCUGGGAAGGUGGAGGGAAAGACGCUUUUCCCAUCUGGAUAGGACCAGGAGGCAAGAAGCUUGGGGUGCAACGGCUGGGCCCUGCGGGCCGGGAGAGCUGAGAGGUGAAGCCUCCCUUCCUUGCAGGUGGCGCUGUGCUCCCGCACCAGGUUCAAGUGCACUAGAGGAGUGAUGACAUCAUCCAGGACGGAAACAGCAUCCCCACCGCGGGAGCACCGAGGAAGAGGGCAGCUCACUUGUUGCUCAGGACAGUAGGGAGUGGUUUUUCUCUCUGGCUAAAUCAUGUUUGAAGUUUGGUAGAAAGGGCUUCCUAAGGUGACAGGUUCUAUUGGACCCUUAAGAUUUGGAGGCAGGUUGUUUGGGUUCAGGUGAGCGUCCAGUGCUUUCCUGCAGCACCGUCACAGCCUUAUUUCAGUGAGGGAAGGAAGGGGAGCUGUUAAUGAGAAGCAGUUCUAUGGCCUGAAGACCUGGGCUCAAAACAAAACCAACAAACAAAACAGACCUGAGCUCUGACUUUUAUUAGCUGUGUGAUCAUGGAUAUAUUAGUUAACCUCUCUGGGCCAAAUUCUAUCUGCAAAAUAGAAUAUUGGUAUCCACCUCACAGAGUUGAAGGAUCAGCUGAAGCAACCUAAAGCAUCUAGCUAGUGCCCAGUGCCCAGCAGGCACAGGGGGGUGCAGUGGGACUGACAGUGAGGGCUGACAGUGGAAGCUCUAGCUGGCCUUAGCUCCAGCUCAUACCCUUUAGGUCCAGGAGCCAGUGUGUGUCUGUCUCCUCUCCUCUGGGCCCAGUGAUUGCUUAGGUGACUGGGGUGACAGGCAAGUGGGUGGAGGGAAUGGAGAAGAGUGUACCCUGGGAUCUGAGGGCUUUACCCCCAGGACUAGACUGCCCUCUGGUUUUGGUCAGACCUAGCACAGCGAUCUUGCUUCCUAGCUGGGGCACCCCACCCUCACCUCAAAGAUGGUGAAACUGCUGUGCCUCCUGCUGUUGAGGCAACCUGGAGGCAGAGAAACCUACAAGUGACACAGACCCAAGGUGGCAGUUCCACAGUGCCAAGGGGUGGCAGCACCUUCAAGAGAAUGAAAUUCAGAAAGAUGCCUUUCACCUACACCCGAUGGUGGGCAUGGCAGCAUUGUCAGCAUUCCUGCAGUUGGGGCAGGAAGUGGAAUUGGUGAGCAGGUGGGGAGGGCUGGGGAAGAUGAGGCCCCUCUGAGCCCUAGGGCACACAGAUAUGGGUGCUAUUCUCCAAAUAGUCACUCCACUUCUCUGCCUGCCGCCUUCCUGGGCCUGUGACUGCUGUGAGGACCUGGCCCUGAGCCCAUGGUUAGGCAGAGUCAUGGAAUGAGCAUCCCUGAACAUGCCUAAUAUAGCCAUCCCAGCACCCUGGGCUCCACUCUGCCCCAGCACCCCUGAGAACAACUCUGGCUACUGACUCCAGGCAGCAGGACUGGUUCAGGAGCAGACCUAGUAGAGGCCUGGCCUUCUAGACCUGGACAACCAGGUCAGUGGAGAGUCUUCUGCUUAGAGUUCAGAUUUUCCUCCAUGCUGCACUUUCUGAGGAUGUGAAUUUAUUUCUUGGCCAACUCAAAUAGUGUGGCAGGGAACCUGAGCUUCUAGAGUCCUCCAGGGAGCCCAGGGUUAGGAUCAGGACUCACAGUUCAGGACAACAGGUGGGGCACAGCCAUUCACAGCUAAAGGUUUGUAUAUAUUAUCAAAAUCUUAUGGAAAAACAGAUACACAGCUAUUCAUACAGCAGCAGGUGGGUGUGAGGAAAAUGUCUGCUUUGGCAUCAAACCUUCAAGUCCAGCUGCUGUCUGUCCCACUCCUCCUGUCUGGAGCCUACUCCCAUCAGGCACUGUGCAUCCAGGCCACUGCCCCUGCCACAUCCUCUAAUUAGCCUGGACUUUGGGGUAUCCUCAGCCCCUCCCCACGCUCCCCUUUGGGCCCCCAUGCCUCUCCAUCUUUCUGCCAUUUUCCCACACAGAGUGCCACUGGCCCAGCAGCUUUGCCCCGUGGGCUCCUCAGAGGCCUGAAUCCUGGCCCUGGAGGGCAGUGGGGCUGGGGUGGAUGUGGUCCCUGUGGGACAUCUUUCCUGGAUCACAGGCCUUUUGCAGCUUGCCAGCUACAUGGGCCCUGGACAGUGCCAUCUUCUCAGUGAUGUGCUAAAAGGACUCUUCUUGUCCAGAAACCUGAGCUCCAUGUACUAAAGCAAAAUUUGGAGAGCCUCAGAGACAAGAAAAGGAAAGUGAGAAGAGAUAAGGCAUCCUUCCUUGAGCGUGACCCAGGCCUGGACUCUCCCAUGGCAGAAUAGGGACAUCCACAGCAGGUCAGCCAGGGAUGGGGUGGGCAGGGUCUGUGUAGCCCUGGGAGGUGAGGCCUGAGCAGUCAUGGCAUUGGCAGAUGGUGCCUGGCAGCCUGGUCCUACUGAAGCAGUUUGGGCACUUCCACCUGUAGGGGCAAAGUAGAGACAGGUUAGAGAAGGGAGCUCAGCCACCUCACCUCCCUCCCUACUGGAAGGACACACAAGACACUGCAAUAUGUUAUGUCUGUGGAAUGUGAAUGAGGUGUUGACACUGAGGGAGCAUUUUUCAU